AAAGUGCGAUAAGCACUGUGAAUUGCAGAAUUCAGCGAAUCAGCAGAUCUCUUAACGCAUAAGGUGCUAGGUGGACUUGUCCGCCUGGCAGGCAUAUCUCAGCAUUGUAUUAAUUGCAGUCAUGACUUGUCAUUCAAUUGAUCUCUCGCUUGCGAGUUGAUUAUUUGAGUGUCCUGCUUUGACCCGCAUUUUUGACGCGCUUCUUACGAAGUUGCGUUGUUUGAUCCGCUACUUUAACAAAUGGCGGAUGGGUACGUGCCUCGCAUUAUUAAAACUUGUUUUAAUGUAAUGGCCAGAGGUAAAAACCAAUCAAUCUGAAAUAUGUCAGGCUACCCGCUGAACUUAA
rnacentral:misc_RNA from 1 species